UUAGAUGCAGAAAAGGCAUUUGACAAGAUC
rnacentral:piRNA from 1 species